rnacentral:rRNA from 1 species
AUUGAACGCUGGCGGCAGGCCUAACACAUGCAAGUCGAACGAGAGGCGGACGGGUGAGUAAUGUCUGGGAAACUGCCCGAUGGAGGGGGAUAACUACUGGAAACGGUAGCUAAUACCGCAUACCCUCGGAUGAGCCCAGAUGGGAUUAGCUGGUAGGUGGGGUAAUGGCUCACCUAGGCGACGAUCCCUAGCUGGUCUGAGAGGAUGACCAGCCACACUGGAACUGAGACACGGUCCAGACUCCUACGGGAGGCAGCAGUGGGGAAUAUUGCACAAUGGGCGAAAGCCUGAUUCAGCCAUGCCGCGGGUGUGAAGAAGGCCUUCGGGUUGUAAAGUACUUUAAGUGGGGAGGCGUUACUCGCAGAAGAAGCACCGGCUAACUUCGUGCCAGCAGCCGCGGUAAUAC